UACGGACUAAAAUCCGUUGGCUUUAUAGACCAUGAGGGUUCAAGUCCCUCUAUCCCCA
rnacentral:tRNA from 1 species